CCUACGGGGGGCAGCAGUGGGGAAUAUUGGACAAUGGGGGCAACCCUGAUCCAGCCAUGCCGCGUGUGUGAAGAAGGCCCUCGGGUUGUAAAGCACUUUCAGUGAGGAAGAACGCCUGGUGGUUAAUACCCAUCAGGAAAGACAUCACUCACAGAAGAAGCACCGGCUAACUCCGUGCCAGCAGCCGCGGUAAUACGGAGGGUGCGAGCGUUAAUCGGGAUUACUGGGCGUAAAGCGCGCGUAGGUGGCUUGAUAAGCCGGUUGUGAAAGCCCCGGGCUCAACCUGGGAACGGCAUCCGGAACUGUCAAGCUAGAGUGCAGGAGAGGAAGGUAGAAUUCCCGGUGUAGCGGUGAAAUGCGUAGAGAUCGGGAGGAAUACCAGUGGCGAAGGCGGCCUUCUGGACUGACACUGACACUGAGGUGCGAAAGCGUGGGUAGCAAACAGGAUUAGAUACCCUGGUAGUC
rnacentral:rRNA from 1 species